CCAGCAAAACAAAUGGCGUGCUAGUGUGCGUGAGAGCGGGCUUAGAUAACUCUAUUAUAAAACUUCGCGCUGCAGACAGUCUAAUUCCUACGCUAAAAACAAUGGAGCACCCGCAGUCGAGCAGUUUUUGACAGUUCGCUCCAUACACGCAAAAUCCAGAUAACACAGAUCUGUGUAAAAAAUUUACACAGAUUGUUGAACAUGUUCUAGCUGUCAAAACUGUGUAGUUUUAUAACUCAGAUCUGUGUAAAAAGUUACACAGAUUUCCGGUCAACCUCCCUUUCAAAUCUGGGUAAAAAAGUUAAGAUGGCGUCUUCCUGCAACAUUGACGGAACUUGAUAUUUAAGACAAACAGGCAACACAGAUGCAUCGCAAAUCAAAUGGAAUCGGUCCCUGUGCAUAGAAAUGUUUGCUCGGAAAGAUACACCUUCCUACGUCAAUCCCACUAGAGUUAUCUAAGGUCGGGCUCACGCACACUAGCACACCAUUUGUUUUGCUGGGCGGUACAAAAUUUAACCUAAAUCUGUUUCGUGUACGUACACGCAAUACAUGCGCACGUAGAUAACUCUCUUGAUUGCGCCACUUGGAUUCCUCGGAACUUCCACCGAAUGAAUAAACUGGUGCUUCAAGUGCAGCGGAAUUAUCUGCCGCGGAAGCUGUUCUACGACCUUCCAUCUGGUCUCACAAGAGGACAUCUUCUUUGGCCCAAUGUGUAUAAUUAUUGUUAAUGAA